UACGAAGGGGGCUAGCGUUGCUCGGAAUCACUGGGCGUAAAGCGCACGUAGGCGGCUUUUUAAGUCAGGGGUGAAAUCCUGGAGCUCAACUCCAGAACUGCCUUUGAUACUGAAGAGCUCGAGUCCGGAAGAGGUGAGUGGAACUGCGAGUGUAGAGGUGAAAUUCGUAGAUAUUCGCAAGAACACCAGUGGCGAAGGCGGCUCACUGGUCCGGUACUGACGCUGAGGUGCGAAAGCGUGGGGAGCAAAC
rnacentral:rRNA from 1 species